rnacentral:rRNA from 1 species
GACGAACGCUGGCGGCGUGCCUAAUACAUGCAAGUAGAACGCUGAAGCUUGGUGCUUGCCCCGAGCGGAUGAGUUGCGAACGGGUGAGUAACGCGUAGGUAACCUGCCUGGUAGCGGGGGAUAACUAUUGGAAACGAUAGCUAAUACCGCAUAAGAGUAGAUGUUGCAUGACAUUUGCUUAAAAGGUGCAAUUGCAUCACUACCAGAUGGACCUGCGUUGUAUUAGCUAGUUGGUGAGGUAACGGCUCACCAAGGCAACGAUACAUAGCCGACCUGAGAGGGUGAUCGGCCACACUGGGACUGAGACACGGCCCAGACUCCUACGGGAGGCAGCAGUAGGGAAUCUUCGGCAAUGGACGGAAGUCUGACCGAGCAACGCCGCGUGAGGGAAGAAGGGUUUCGGAUCGUAAAGCUCUGUUGUAAGAGAAGAACGAGUGUGAGAGUGGAAAGUUCACACUGUGACGGUAUCUUACCAGAAAGGGACGGCUAACUACGUG